rnacentral:rRNA from 1 species
GAUGAACGCUGACAGAAUGCUUAACACAUGCAAGUCGAUGGGGAAGUGGUGCUUGCACCAUGGUAACCAUGGCGGACGGGUGAGUAACGCGUAAGGAACUUACCUGCGGGACCGGGAUAACAGCAGGAAACUGCUGACAAGACCGGAUAAGGUCAUUAAGCUGCAUAGCUUAGUGAUGAAAGGAGACGCCUGCGGAGAGCCUUGCGUCCUAUUAGCUAGUUGGAGGGGUAACGGCCCACCAAGGCGAAGAUAGGUAGCCGGCCUGAGAGGGUGGACGGCCACAAGGGGACUGAGAUACGGCCCUGACUCCUACGGGAGGCAGCAGUGGGGAAUAUUGGACAAUGGGGGCAACGCUGAUCCAGCAAUUCUGUGUGCACGAAGACGGUUUUCGGAUUGUAAAGUGCUUUCAGCAGGGAAGAAGGAAGUGACGGUACCUGAAGAAGAAGCGACGGCUAAAUACGUG